UUUGGCAAAACUGACCUGUUGGCCAAAUGUAUUCCUCAUGACUGAGAGAAAGAAAACUGUGCUUAUAUGCAAACUUUCAGUGGAAAGAAUGAACCACUUCUGAUCCCGGGGACAAACCUAUGUGUUAUGGGUUUUUUCCAGCCUGAUGCUUCUGCUAUAUUUGGAGAAAAAUUCUGUUUUUCUUUUCUUUCUUUUUUUUUUAAGUUGUUUUUAGGAGCCAUGUAGACAUGCUCUAGACCAGGCCAUCAUGAGGCUGAGCAGACUGGUUGGAGGGUAAGCAGCUGACCCGCUUCUGCUAGCUGGGAGCAGAGGAGACUUAGCAUCACCCAAAACAGGGUUUGGCAGGGGGUGUAUGCGAAUUUGAAGGAAGAAAACACUGGGAGUGGGGGAAUGGCCAUCAUUUCUGAGCAAAAGGAAAACAUUUGAAUUCUUCUUUACCCUUUUGUCAGGGAACCAGGCAAAAACAGAAAGUAAAAGGGGAGAAACCAAAAGUGAAAUGGUUCAUUCAUGUUUGAUGAAACCUUCCCACCAAAUAGAAACUAGUCUACACAAAAAUGAAAAAAGGAAAGAAAGUUAGGACAUUUUCACAGUCUGGGGCAUCACUAGAUACAGAAGCCGCCCAGGACCCAGGUGCCAACUCAGUGAAAGUGGGGAAACUAGCUGCCACACGCUUGAGCCUCGUAAGGGAGACAGAUCCCUUCUUCCAAUCCUUUGAGUCCUUGGAGAAAGUCAAGUGGCCAUACAUAACCAACAGGGGCUGGUUUCAUUUAUAAAUAACCCAGGAACAUUUUGUUGUUUUCAGUUUUUUAGGACUG
rnacentral:lncRNA from 1 species